AGCUUUGCGCAGUGGCAGUAUCAUAGCCAAUGAGGUUUAUCCAAGGCGCAAUUAUUGCUAAUUGAAAAGAAUG
rnacentral:snRNA from 1 species